rnacentral:lncRNA from 1 species
CCAGUUCUCCUGACCCAACAGGAGUGCAUGUUCCCGAUUACCUCCCAGGACCACUGGCCCUCACGGUGGCUGGAAACCCUGGCGGGGAGGCCUGCGCCUCCUCAAGCUCCAGUCCCUCUGGAUGGGUGAUUAGGGAGCGCGCUUUCUCUCCACCACCAAGUUCACCUCUUCUCCCACCCCCUCUAAAAUAAGUGACUUGACGAUAGGUGAUCCCAUCCCCUAGUCCUCUCCUUAAUGCCAGUCUGGAGGCGGACUGUCAAGAAGGGAUGCGUCUCCUCGCCCUUGAGAACCAGCGCGGAGACCUUCUUUUGUGCCUCUCCUUGGCUGUGAACUUUCCCGCGCGGUAGGUUCUCCUUUAAGAAAGUAGCGUCCCUAUGAAUAUUUAAUGCUGUGCGCGGGCCGGCGGGGCGGAGGGGAGCCCACGGCCUGGGUUUCCGCGCGCGCCGAGACCCGGGCGCAGAGCGAGUGCGUCCCCACCAGCCUGGCCGCCGCGGCAACUCGGGGACCGGGAGGGCGGGGGUUAGCGGGAGGAAAGGGUAAGCUGAAGAGGGGCUGGGAACGGGAGGGAGGCUCGGGGCGAACGGGCCGUCGCGUUCAUUUCCAUAAGAAAGCUGAAAUCGCAGUUGGAAGCAGGAUUUCUCGCCCCUGCAGCCCAUCCCCCAUACCCGGUUUUCUGCAAGAAGCGGGCUCCGGAGCUCAGAGCCCGAAGUGUAUGCCCUGGUCUUUGAUGAUGUUGAUAAAAUGAGGUUUCAAAUGUUGUCCCGAAGAGGCCGGUAUGUGGAAUGGAAGGACCGUGCCGGGUGAGUCCAGAACGCCGGGGAGCGGACAGGAGGAGCAGGGCUGAGGAGAGGGAGGGCGCAGCCGGCGGGCGCAGGGCAUCCCUGCAGGGGAAGUUCUCCAGGGGGUUUUGAAAGGGGGAGCCAGGUUGAAACCAAGUUUCCCGAGCAAGGAAGAGUUUGUGUGUGUGUGCGUGUGUGUGUGUGUCUGUGUGUCUGUGUGUGUGUGUGUGUUCGGGGGUGGGGAGCGCGAUGAGGGAAGACGUCACGAAAGCCCCAGAACCCAGGCGGCCCGCGCGUGGGAAGGUCUGGCAGGUCUUGUCACCUCCCUCUUCAAAGAGCGGGGGAAACUUUCGCUGGCCGCCGCUGACCCUCUUCCUGCGAAGGAAUAAAGUGAACUUGCCCAGAUACUGGAUUCCACUGGCGGUUCAGUUGUUGAGUUCUUUCUACGUUCGCAUUGAGCACUGAGUUUCUUUUUGACUUGCAGUGUGAACGGCAGCCAUGUGACCUCAAUUCUAUAUCACAUAUAUACACACACACCUCCUAGGUACUUUAUGAUCCCAUCUGGAGAAAUUAAAGCCCAGAUCUGUAAUGUUUAUUCUUAGAUAGUUUACCAAAAGCAGGGGGGAAAUGUGUGAGACACAUGUCUGCAAAUAUAACAAAAGUACUUUCCCUUAUGCUUGAAAAGUUGCCUGCAAAUGGCUGGCUUCCGUUUACUGACUGCACCACCUGUACCUCUCCAUGAAACUAAAUGGAAUCAGGAAUAAAGCACCAAUCAGAUCAAGCAAUUAAAUACCAAUUAUGACUAUUAAUGACUUUAUUACUAAUGACUGGAGUUGAGGACUCCAAACCCAAAUGAGGUAAUCAAGCUGUUUUAAAAUUCUGAUACCUAAUAUUUUUACCGCACUCCUUCCCCAAAAUAGGAGGUUAAAAAAAAACAGGUUAUGUUUUCAAAGAGUUCUCCAGUAGGUAUUCAUGGUCAAUGUUGAACUUAUUUUUCUCAGAAAGUUUAUUGCUACUGCUGGUAAAUAAUGGAGUCUUCCUUUCUGGCUCUGCCAAGUUACGCAAAGUGUAACUGAUGAUGGUGGUUACACAAUAUAUGGUACUUGGUUUGGAUGCAGAAUUGGGAUGGAGCAGGGGUGCUUUCUGUCUUCAAUUACUCUGAUAAUCCGGCAGACCCUAGACGAUUUUAAGGAACAAGUGUUUUAAUUCUUCAGAUGGGGUAAUGGCUAUUGGGAUGUUUGGAAGGUGAGGAAAUGAAGAAUGGGGAACCCAGGCAGCAAAGAGAAAGAAGGAAUUGGGCCUAUGUUUUGAAUUUUCUUUUUGCUCAUGGGUUGAAAUGCCUUUAGCUUGUCAUAAGCUAAGUGACUGAAAAGAAAAGGUUACUGAGAACAGUAUAUUGGUGUAAAGGCUACUGUGUAGCUGGGUUUAUUUAUUACUGAAGAUGAUUUGCCAACCCUACUUGCCUCUUGAUUGACACCCCUUCUUAUCCCAAAUGGAAGUCCCUGUUCAUUCUGGGAUAGGAGGAAGAGGCCUGGAGGCAGGAAGGGAAUAAGUUUCUGCAGCAGUCCAUGAGAAGAAAGGAGGGGGCAGUUAGUAGGGAUUCUUUAGUCACCAUGAAGCAGGCAGGCUAGGCAGCUGGGCACUUGGAGGAGCCAGCAGUUCAUCUUGAUGUAGGUCAUCUCUGCUCAUUGUCCCAUAGUUUAGCUCUUCAGGACACAAGGAGUGUUUGGAAAAAUGAACUUCAAGUCCCUGGCUUGGGAUAUUUCCCCUUCACCUUCCUCCUAGGUAGAAGCCUACAGCAGCAGCAGCAGCAUCUGGUUCUGAUGUGUUUACCGGGCUGGUAUGGAAAUGCCCAGGCUGCAUGGCAGAAACCUGAGCUGCUAGUGACAAGCACACUCCUCUGCUAAGCAACGAAAAGUUUUGAUACUUUUUGAGCACUGGGUGGCCUCUUCUCUUGAUGUGAAGCGCAUGAGCCCCCCUCCCCAUUUCUAUUUGUCAGAGUUAAUUGCCCUGCAGUGGGGCAGUUCACACCUCAGGCAGUGCCAAGAAAUACAGCAGGGAAGGAAUCCUGCACAGGUAACAGGAUGGCAUGGUAUUACCUUAGACACCUAGGGGUUCAAAAACCUCAGUGGAAUGAAAUGGGCCUGGGGUAUUCUCCCUUUGGUGCCUCCCUAGGGACAAGCCUCUUUGGCCUGGCCCAGACUGUGGGCAGCUUAUGUGUGAUGGCCCUGAGUCCUGAAGGUGAAGCUAGUCACUUUCUGUAAGUGGACAGUCGACCCAAGAGGCAGUUCUAAAGAGGAGAGCCUGAGGUGUCCACAACAAUUUUUCUUCUGUUCCAGGGCACCAAGAGGCACCCUGAGAACUCAGAGGACCCAGAGGCUCCCCUCAAGCAAAUUCCCUGCUGACCCUGGAAACCCCUUGAAGGAGGGGACAAGAGGUUGCCACAAGGCUCAUCUUAUAACUCCCAGCAAGGACUCUCAGCAAACAACUGUCCUACAGGGAGUUCCAGAGCUCUCCCAAAGUGCAUGAGGAAGUGCACAAGUAGGACUGGGGCACAAUACCAGAAGCUAUUUGUCUCCUAGAACCUGGCACCCCCUCCACUUACCUUGCAGGAGACCCACAUCACUCAGUUCCCAGGACACCUGGUGGGAGAGUCUGAGUUGUGUUCUCACCACCCACUUUGUCGGCGGAGGAGAAACACUGCUGCCUGAUGGGUUCUUGCACCUGCUCCUAGCCCUGAACUCGGGCCCUGAGCUCCUCACUGCCGCCCGCUCUGCGCUGAGCCCCACUCCUGAGACCGCGAGGUGCCAGAGCAGCGCCUCUCCCACCAACUCCUAGACGCCUGUAGGAGCUGCGCCGGAGCCUUCAGAACCCCGUGGGGGUGUGGGGGUGAAGUUGGAGGUCAUCCGGGUGAUUUUUUCUUACUUUUUCCUAAUUGUUCUCCUGCGUUGAUUUCAACUCUUCCAGUCUCCUGGUGCUGGGGCGCCAAUCCUUUCUCACCAAUUCCUACCCACCAGCUGGAGGUCGGGGCCCAGGGUUACCCCAGAGUUCUAUGGUGGCAGGGGGCGCCGAGUAGAGGGGCGG